rnacentral:lncRNA from 1 species
AGAGAAGCCAGCCAAGGGCAGAGAGGAGAUCAUCAGGGGUACGAAGUUAGCAAUAGCACAGAAAUUCAGCUACUAUAGUAGCCUACUUUCUUCCCCAUCAGCACCAGUUUCAUCCUUCCUGUCACAGCAACCGUACUAAGGAAGCUCCAAGUGGUAACUGAGUAAACUUAUUGUAGUUUAUUUACAAUGAAUACCUUUGUGCUUUGCCGCUUAUAUAUGAUCAUUGUUGGAUAUCUAAAGCUGCUAGAAUGCCUUUGUACUUUACUGCUUAUGUAUGUUUUACUACGCAUAUAUGUUUGCUAUUGAAUGUCCUGCACACCGCAUACAUAUCCUGGUUAUCUUUCCCUAUCCAUUCUCGCUACUGCAUAUUGUUUGUCACUCAUACUAACAACAAAGAUUUGCCUCACCACAAACCUGCAAACUAAUGUCUCCCAUACAUAAUCCCAUCAUCAUCUUCGACCUUGAUUUAUUCUACCGAAAUUCCAAUGUCGUUUUUCC